UGCGGGAUGGAGCAGUCUGGUAGCUCGUCGGGCUCAUAACCCGAAGGUCGUAGGUUCAAAUCCUGCUCCCGCAA
rnacentral:tRNA from 1 species